GCUUAACACAUGCAAGUCGAGGGGCAGCAUGGUCUUAGCUUGCUAAGGCCGAUGGCGACCGGCGCACGGGUGAGUAACGCGUAUCCAACCUGCCUUACACUCUUGGACAGCCUUCUGAAAGGGAGAUUAAUACAAGAUGUUAUCAUGAGUAAGCAUUUUCGCAUGAUUAAAGGUUUACCGGUGUAAGAUGGGGAUGCGUUCCAUUAGAUAGUAGGCGGGGUAACGGCCCACCUAGUCUUCGAUGGAUAGGGGUUCUGAGAGGAAGGUCCCCCACAUUGGAACUGAGACACGGUCCAAACUCCUACGGGAGGCAGCAGUGAGGAAUAUUGGUCAAUGGACGAGAGUCUGAACCAGCCAAGUAGCGUGAAGGAUGAAGGUUCUAUGGAUUGUAAACUUCUUUUAUACGGGAAUAAACGGAUCCACGUGUGGAUUUUUGCAUGUACCGUAUGAAUAAGGAUCGGCUAACUCCGUGCCAGCAGCCGCGGUAAUACGGAGGAUCCGAGCGUUAUCCGGAUUUAUUGGGUUUAAAGGGAGCGUAGAUGGGUUGUUAAGUCAGUUGUGAAAGUUUGCGGCUCAACCGUAAAAUUGCAAUUGAUACUGGCAGUCUUGAGUACAGUUGAGGUAGGCGGAAUUCGUGGUGUAGCGGUGAAAUGCUUAGAUAUCACGAAGAACUCCGAUUGCGAAGGCAGCUUACUAACCUGUAACUGACAUUGAUGCUCGAAAGUGUGGGUAUCAAACAGGAUUAGAUACCUUGGUAGUCCACACGGUAAACGAUGAAUACUCGCUGUAGGCGAUAUACAGUCUGCGGCCAAGCGAAAGCAUUAAGUAUUCCACCUGGGGAGUACGCCGGCAACGGUGAAACUCAAAGGAAUUGACGGGGGCCCGCACAAGCGGAGGAACAUGUGGUUUAAUUCGAUGAUACGCGAGGAACCUUACCCGGGCUUAAAUUGCAACCGAAUAUGGCGGAAACGCUAUAGCUAGCAAUAGCGGUUGUGAAGGUGCUGCAUGGUUGUCGUCAGCUCGUGCCGUGAGGUGUCGGCUUAAGUGCCAUAACGAGCGCAACCCUUGCCGAUAGUUACUAACAGGUCAUGCUGAGGACUCUGUCGGGACUGCCAUCGUAAGAUGUGAGGAAGGUGGGGAUGACGUCAAAUCAGCACGGCCCUUACGUCCGGGGCUACACACGUGUUACAAUGGGGGGUACAGAGGGCUGCUACCACGCAAGUGGAUGCCAAUCCCAAAAACCUCUCUCAGUUCGGAUUGAAGUCUGCAACCCGACUUCAUGAAGCUGGAUUCGCUAGUAAUCGCGCAUCAGCCACGGCGCGGUGAAUACGUUCCCGGGCCUUGUACACACCGCCCGUCAAGCCAUGGGAGCCGGGGGUACCUGAAGUGCGUAACCGCAAGGAGCGCCCUAGGGUAAAACUGGUGACUGGGGCUAAGU
rnacentral:rRNA from 1 species